rnacentral:lncRNA from 1 species
GGUACAUUCAUUUUUUAAUAUAAGAAAAGCUGUUACAGGUUUUGAACAUCAGAGAGGCUUUUGAGAUUACUGGAAAGCUGUCAUUCCUGUGAAGCACCUAUUGGCCAUGUCUCACAUGCUUAGAUUGGCUUAGGUUAGCCAAGCUCACAUACUUGUCUCUGUACCCUUGGGCUCUCACUGUGUGUAUGACUGUGUGUUAACGUGACCAGGAGAGCUCACAUGAGCUGACACAAAACUACCCACUCUGUUUAAAAAGAUGCACUGGCACAGGCUGCUCAGAGAAGCUGUGAAUGCCCCUGGAGGUGUUCAAGGCCUGGUUGGAUGGGAUCCUGGACAGCCUGAGAUGCUGGGUAGUAGAACUGUCCAUGGCAGGGGACUGGCACUUGACAAACUUAGGGUCCCUUCCAACCUAAACCAUUCUUAGAUUAUGUGAUGAUUAUGUGAUUCUGUAAUCUUCACAGGAGCUCUCUACAGUCAGCAGCGCAUCCAAUUUAUACGCAGGAGCCCACUCAAUGUUCUUGCACUCAACAAAACUUUUCUUCUUUGACUCUUGUCGUGGAAGUGCCUUCUAUAGAAUGAGUGGCUUUUCAUAAUGGGAGAAAAUCCAUGGAGAAGUUUUGCAGGACCUGACUAAAACUGCAGAUUAAGACUUAUCAGCAGUGUUAUCAGAAACUGAAUAUCUUCUUGAGUUAAGGACACAAAUCUAACAGAAUAGACUGAGUUCCUCCUAAGCAUUUGAACUGCAUUCUGUCUGUACAACUUUAGCUGCCUGAAAGAGUGCCCGUUCAGUUGCCUGAUGCCAGAGCACUGUGAAAAAGGAAUAAAGAAAGGCACAGCAAUACUGUCAAAAUUCAGAACUCUUCUGCAGCAGCAGAGGUAGCAAGAGCACACAUAAUUCCUCGAGAUUUUAAGCAGAGGAUUACAUAGUUCACACUCACACUCAUCUGUUGGAAGACCUUGCAGCUCUUACUGGGGGAAUGUGUCCAAGUUUCUUAUCAGUGCAAAGGAGAGUUGGAAGGAGAUCAGGAAGAGAAGCAUCUGUUUCUCUCCUCCUUUGGGACUUUUUGUUUCGUGUGAGUCUGGCACAACACCACGUUUUGCAAAUGGCCAGCUGGACUCAAAAUGUGGACUAUUUAAAGGCACAACCACACAACCUUGUGCACAAGCUUGUGUCUUCCUCUUUGUUAUCCUUAAAAUAUAUGUAACAACUAAAUAUAUGUAGCAACAAAAUAUAUGUAACAACUAAAUAAAUUAAAAUGCUACUGCA